UACAGAGGUCUCAAGCGUUGUUCGGAUUCAUUGGGCGUAAAGGGUGUGUAGGUGGCGCGUAAGUCGGGUGUGAAAUUUCGGAGCUUAACUCCGAAACUGCAUUCGAUACUGCCGUGCUUGAGGACUGGAGAGGAGACUGGAAUUUACGGUGUAGCAGUGAAAUGCGUAGAUAUCGUAAGGAAGACCAGUGGCGAAGGCGGGUCGUCUGGACAGUUCCUGACACUGAGGCACGAAGGCCAGGGGAGCAAACGGG
rnacentral:rRNA from 1 species